rnacentral:rRNA from 1 species
UACGUAGGGUGCGAGCGUUGUCCGGAAUUAUUGGGCGUAAAGAGCUUGUAGGCGGUUUGUCGCGUCUGCUGUGAAAAUCCGGGGCUUAACCCCGGACCUGCAGUGGGUACGGGCAGACUAGAGUGUGGUAGGGGAGACUGGAAUUCCUGGUGUAGCGGUGAAAUGCGCAGAUAUCGAGAGGAACACCAGUGGCGAAGGCGAGUCCCUGGACAGAUCCUGACGCUGAGGCACGAAGGCCAGGGGAGCAAACGGG